ACACGCAUGACACACUGCAUAUCAAUAAGCGGAGGAAAAGAAACUAACAAGGAUUCCCUUAGUAACGGCGAGUGAAGCGGGAAGAGCUCAAAUUUGAAAUCUUCAAGGUUCUACCUUGACGAAUUGUAGUUUAUAGAAGUGUUUUCUGUUAGUAGAGUGGCAAAAGUUCUUUGGAAUAGGACAUCAUAGAGGGUGAGAAUCCCGUAUUUGAUCACUUUCUACUAACGUUGUGAUACACUUUCAAAGAGUCGGAUUGUUUGGGAAUGCAGUCCAAAAUGGGUGGUAAAUUUCAUCUAAAGCUAAAUAUUGGCGAGAGACCGAUAGCGAACAAGUACCGUGAGGGAAAGAUGAAAAGAACUUUGAAAAGAGAGUUAAACAGUACGUGAAAUUGUCAAAAGGGAAGCGUUUGACACCAGUGUUGUUUUUCCGAAAAUCAAUUACGAAUGUUUUGUUUUUGAGAAGUUAUGACUUCAUCGGCUUGCUUCUCUCUUUACGAAACUUUCUUAAUGCACUUUUCGGUUAACAAGUCAACAUCAAUUUCUUUUGUUGUAAAAGGGUAUGAGGAAGGUGGCUUUCUUUUCGGAGAAAGUGUUUAUAGCCUUGUGCCUCUGCAAUCGGAGAGAUUGAGGUCUGCAGCGUAGAUCCUUCGGGGUUAGAUGCAUUUGUGCUAAGUUAUAGCCUUUCAUAGACAACUUGUUGACUAUGAUCAGUCAUGUAGCUUACUCGCUUAUGCUAUUUUACCUACGCUUAGGAUGUUGACGCAUGAGAUAUACGC
rnacentral:rRNA from 1 species